rnacentral:rRNA from 1 species
CAUAGCCUUUAGCCCUAACCGUAUUAAAGGUAACGCCUGCCCAGUGAAACUUAAACGGCCGCGGUAUCCUAACCGUGCAAAGGUAGCGUAAUCACUUGUCUCCUAAAUAGAGACCAGUAUGAAUGGCUAAAUGAGGAUUAAACUGUCUCCUACGACCAAUCAGUGAAACUGAUCUCCCAGUACAAAAGCUGGGAUAAAUACAUAAGACGAGAAGACCCUGUGGAGCUUAAAAUUAAGGCCACCUAAAACAACUAAACACCAGCCAUGGCUCACAAUUUUAAGUUGGGGCGACUUCGGAACCAAACAAAACUUCCGAGCACAAGAACAUCCCUCAUACUAAGGCCCACACGCCUAAGCACAAACUGACCCAGUCUAACUGAUCAACGAACCAAGUUACCCCAGGGAUAACAGCGCCAUCUUCUUCAAGAGUCCCUAUCGCCAAGAAGGUUUACGACCUCGAUGUUGGAUCAGGACACCCAAAUGGUGCAGCCGCUAUAAAGGUUCGUUUGUUCAACGAUUAACAGUCCUACGUGAUC